UACGUAGGGGGCAAGCGUUGUCCGGAUUCAUUGGGCGUAAAGAGCUCGUAGGCGGUUCAGCAAGUCGGGUGUGAAACCUCCAGGCUCAACCUGGAGACGCCACCCGAUACUGCUGUGACUUGAGUCCGGUAGGGGACCACGGAAUUCCUGGUGUAGCGGUGAAAUGCGCAGAUAUCAGGAGGAACACCGGUGGCGAAGGCGGUGGUCUGGGCCGGAACUGACGCUGAGGAGCGAAAGCAUGGGGAGCGAACAGG
rnacentral:rRNA from 1 species